rfam:Hordeum vulgare subsp. vulgare, WGS project CAJW01000000 data, contig: morex_contig_164605
GAAAUACUCCAUCCGUCCGGAAUUACUUGUCCACAAAUGGAUAAAAAUGGAUGUAUCUAGAAUUAAAAUACAUCUAGAUACAACCACUCUUGUGAAAAGUAUUUCCGGACGGAGGGAGUACAAC